rnacentral:lncRNA from 1 species
UUCUGUGAUUUUCAUCGAACAGAACUUGGGACCACACAUUGAACAGAAAUGUGCUACUUUGGCGCCAUCAGACGGUAAUGUUUCAUCAUGGAAAGACAUAGCAGUUACUGGAUCAAGCGAUAAAGCAAAUUGGUCCAACCAUCUAAACUCAAACCUCGCCUUGCUUAGUGCAUCAUCCCAUGCUUGUGCAUAAGGAUGACGCUUUGCCAAGUCAGCAGCAUGAGCAGCUAUUUUGUAGGAUAUCACACCUGUCUUAACAUCAUCACGAUUAGGCAACCCAAGGUGCUCCUUUGGUGUUACAUAACAAAGAAGUGCAGUUCCAAGAGCCCCA